AACUUUUUGGUUAGGGUUUCUUGAAAUAGACAUAAAUCUUGUUUCUACUGAUAUUCUGUAACUUUUCAGUGUUGGGUUCAAUGUUAGUACAUGUCUUUAUAGUAUUUUGUUUGCUGCAUGUGGUCUCGCUGAGAUUUUUCUAACAUCUGCUUACUUUAUUCGUUUGGGGUUAUAUUUUUUAGUCGAUUUCAGUUGUUUAUUCAAAGCUUUCAUGUUUGUUUACUAAAUUUUCAACGAAAUUUCAAUUGCAUGUGGUCCCUUCCCUUUUUGUUUUGGUCUGGACAUACAGGUUAUAUUAUUGUUGAUGCCUGAUUUCUUUAUUCAUAUGAGGUAUACUUGUUUGUUGAUUUCAGUUGUUUAUUCAGUUGCAUGUGGUCCCUUUCCCUUUAUUAGUAGUAGUCAGCUUUAAAAAUACUGUUUGUUUAUUACUAAUGGGCCUUUUUUUAUGGCUUGCAUUUGUUUUCUUUGAAGAAUGAUUGAGAAGGUUGAUUUGGUCUUUAAUCAUGG
rnacentral:lncRNA from 1 species